rnacentral:rRNA from 1 species
CCGGUAAACGGCGGCCGUAACUAUAACGGUCCUAAGGUAGCGAAAUUCCUUGUCGGGUAAGUUCCGACCUGCACGAAUGGCGUAAUGAUGGCCAGGCUGUCUCCACCCGAGACUCAGUGAAAUUGAACUCGCUGUGAAGAUGCAGUGUACCCGCGGCAAGACGGAAAGACCCCGUGAACCUUUACUAUAGCUUGACACUGAACACUGGUCCUUGAUGUGUAGGAUAGGUGGGAGGCUUUGAAGCGUG